AUUAAACGCUGGCGGCAUGCCUUACACAUGCAAGUCGAACGGUAGCGCGGGGCAACCUGGCGACGAGUGGCGAACGGGUGAGUAAAGCAUCGGAACGUGCCCUGGAAUGGGGGAUAACGUAGCGAAAGUUACGCUAAUACCGCAUAUUCUGUGAGCAGGAAAGCAGGGGAUCGCAAGACCUUGCGUUCUGGGAGCGGCCGAUGUCGGAUUAGCUAGUUGGUGGGGUAAAAGCCUACCAAGGUGACGAUCCGUAGCGGGUCUGAGAGGAUGAUCCGCCACACUGGGACUGAGACACGGCCCAGACUCCUACGGGAGGCAGCAGUGGGGAAUUUUUGGACAAUGGGCGGAAGCCUGAUCCAGCCAUGCCGCGUGAGUGAAGAAGGCCUCGG
rnacentral:rRNA from 1 species